rnacentral:rRNA from 1 species
ACUCCUACGGGAGGCAGCAGUGAGGAAUAUUGGUCAAUGGGCGCAAGCCUGAACCAGCCAUGCCGCGUGCAGGAUGACGGUCCUAUGGAUUGUAAACUGCUUUUGCACAGGAAGAAACACUCCCUCGUGAGGGAGCUUGACGGUACUGUGAGAAUAAGGAUCGGCUAACUCCGUGCCAGCAGCCGCGGUAAUAC